rnacentral:rRNA from 1 species
UACGAAGGAUCCUAGCGUUGUCCGGAUUUACUGGGUUUAAAGGGAGCGUAGGCGGACUUUUAAGUCAGUGCUGAAAUAUCCCGGCUUAACCGGGAGGGUGGCAUUGAUACUGCAGGGCUUGAGUGAAGUCGAGGUAGGCGGAAUUGACGGUGUAGCGGUGAAAUGCUUAGAUAUCGUCAAGAACACCGAUAGUGAAGACAGCUUACUAGGCUUAUACUGACGCUGAGGCACGAAAGUGUGGGGAUCAAACAGG